UCAGGGGUUAGGGGUUGUCCCUUGGUGACCUAAAUGAAAAAACAGGUCCAGAACAGAGUUCCUGAUGCUGGACACUCAUUCAGUCUUUGAAUCGUGGGAGGGGAGGCCUGGUACUAGGUAGACCUAACCUCUUUGAGGAACCACAGAGCCCAAGGCUGGAAACCUCCAGAAUCCUCCACCCCCUGAUCCUCCCUGGGGACCCCUGUGGCCUGUCUCACUGAGCACUCUUCCAUCUGUAGAUGUCUGGGCUGCUGUACAAGGGAGUCCCCUUUCAGGUGUGGUGCUAGACAUGGUCACUCCUGCUGGAUGUCUAGGUGGUAGAAACCAAGGACCUAGGGAAAUACCAGGUACAGCCUUUCCAUGCUCAUCCAGAGCAGGACAAACAGGCCAGGCGGUGUCAGGAGCCCAGGUCUCCAGCUGGAGGGAACGUCAACCCUUCGGUGGGAGCAGGGGCCCUUUGCACAUCCUAGGCACAGAUGGUAAUGUAGACACCGCAGGUAAGCUGGGCUUGGUACCUACCCCUCCCCGGAUUCAGAAAGAAACCAAACAAGGAGCUUUGUGCGGAAUGAAACCUCCUUUCCUCCCAGAAGCACUGCUGACUGUUUGGUGGUUGCCAUUUGUGGCAGUGAGCCUUUGUUUGUUCUGAGGUUGGGCUGGUUUCUCCUCUUGGCCCUGCCCUACAGAUCAUAAAGGAGAAGAGCAAGAGGUCCCCAGCAAACAUCCACAGAUGGCCUUGGAAAUAAGUCACCUUCCUCACCCUGCAGGAAUGCCAGUGAACUUAUUGCUGACAUCUUGGAGCUCAGUACCCUCAUAGUGUAACGGCGUCAGCAGAUCUGCCUGUGCUGGGACUUCCUGUACUACCCAUUCCUGAGGGGCGAUGCUUCUGCAGGGCCUGUGACUUGGUGCACAACUUCAGACACCAUCAUCUUGCAGCAGCACCGCACCCUCACUAGCCAGGGUGUUGAUGACUUCCUCAAGGCCAAGGCCACAUUCAAGGCUUCGGACUUCAUUGAUGCGCUUGUGCUGAGCAAGCAGGAUGAAAAUGGGAAGGAGUUGUCAGACGAGGACAUAUAAAUGGAGGCUGGCAUAUUCAUGAGUGCUGGUGGUGGUCCCGGUGUGGGACUACUGUGGGGAUAUGACAGCAGAGCCAGUGGCCUCUACUAGAUCCUGUACAACCUCACAAAACACCCAGACAUCGGGAGUGCUGCCAGCCUGUGAUGCAAGAGUCCUAAUCCUGAAGACAUUGAAUGACCUGUCAUUCUGCUGUUUUUACCAAAAAGGAUCAUGAGGAUCAGAGAGGAAAAGUCAUUUGCCCAAAGUCACACAGCUGAACAGUGGUGGAGUUCAACUUUGACCGUGGGCUGUCUGGCCCCAAGGUGUAUGCUUGCUUCUCUCCCAAGAGACAACUUUCUUAUCAGGCUCAAAUGAAUGAAAGGAGGAUGUUAAAGUUCCUAGAAGCUUUAAUUGAAUGAAAGUUCCUAGUAGAUCUGUACCUACUAAAAACCACACUUCUGAAGCUACGUGGCCACCAGAAGACACAGCUAGUCUGCCAUGUAAAAAAGGAAAGGUGGCGUGUGCCCUGAAGGUGCAGGGGUGAGAGGCAGGGAAAUGGAGACCCCAACAGCCAGCAGCAGUGGCCCUCAUCACAGCCCUCCAGGAGAUAUCAAAGGAGACAACGCCAUUAUUGACGAGAUCACUCCCAAGCGGAUUGGAGAUUGUCCCAAUACUUAGACCUAUAGCAAGGCCUUGGGAGAAAUGGUGGUGCAGCAGGAGAGCAGGAACCUAACCAUUGCCAUCCUAAGGCCCUGCAUUGUGCAGAGCAACGUGGCACCAGCUUUUCCUGGGUUGGGUUGAUAAUCUAAAUGGAUGUAGCUGACUCAUUAUUGCGGUAUGUAUAGGCUGGGAAAGGGUUUCUUCUGUCCAUAAAAGCUACUCCAAUGGCUGUGGGAGACUUAAUUCCAAUUCCAGGUGAUACAGCCGUCAGUCUCCCACUAGCUGUAGGAUGGUGUGCUGCAGUUCACAGACCUAAGUCAAUGUUAGUCUACCACUGUACGUCUGGUAACCUCAAUCCCUGCAACCGGAGCAAAAUGUGAUUCCAGGUCUUGGCAACCUCUGAAAUUCCAACUCCAUUUGCGAGAGCUUUGAGGAGGCCAUAUGCUGAUUUCACCACAAGCAACUUCACAACCCAGUACUGGAAUGCCAUCAGCCAGCAGGCCCCUGCCAUUAUCUGUGACUUCUAUCUGUGGCUCAUUGGAAGGAAACCCAGGUGAGAAGCUGAGUCAAUGGCCUUGAGAAUGUCACUGCAUAUGGGAGAUUGAGGCCCCAAAGUCUUUAGGGCUUCCUUCAGCCAAAGAUUAAAGGAGACAGCUGAAUCUGACCCAUAUAUACAGAUUGAACACACCUACUCUGAAAAUCCAAAAUCUGAAAUUCUCCAAAAUCCAAAAAGUUUUGAGUGCUGACAUGAUGCCACAAGUGGAAAAUUCCACACAUCUUACCUCAUGUGAUGGGUCACAGUCAAAACACAUUCAAAACUUUGUUUCAUGCAUAAAAUUAUUUAAAAUAUUGUAUAAGAUUACCUUCAGGUUAUGUGUAUGUGGCUAAGUGUGUAUGAAAUGUAAGUGAAUUUUGUGUUUAGACAUGGGUCCCAUUCCCAAGAUACCUCAUUGCAUUGAAGCAAAUAUUCCAAAAUCUGAAAACAGUUGAAACCCAACACACUUCUGACCCAAGCAUUUCAGAUAAAGGAUACUCAAUCUGUGUAAGUUUUGAACAAACAAAGCAGUCAUAGUGAGAAGCCACAGAAGCCUCCUACAUUAAAAAUACUCCAGCAUAAUAAAGGAAGGUAAAUGUUAAAGCGCCUGCUUGAUGAAUUCAGCAAGUGAUCAUUCACACAAAAAGAAAACCAACUGAGACGCUGUCACUAGGGUUUUUCAAAUAGGUAGAGAAUCUUAAAUAUCCAGUAAUGAUGACAACCUCACUUACUGGGAGCUUACUCGUGGGGCUAAGGAGGAUGCGUGAUGAUCCCAUUUUUAUUGUCACAGCUACCGAAGGAAGAUACCCUCAUCAACCCAAUUUUACAAAUGGAGAAAUAGAAGCUCAGGGAAGAAUCUGAAGUAGUCUCAAAGGAAGUGACAGGAAGGAUGUGGAGAAAGCUGAGUGUCAAAGUCAGUAUUCAAGACCGGAUUUACUGCUACUUAGAGAUGAAUGAAGAAAUCAGAGGGAACGCAGUGUGCUGAUGCUAAAGCGGCUGUCACCACCCAGCUGUGUGACAUAGGACAUCUUCUUUCUCUGUCUCACUUGACUAAUAUGUUGUGUCAGGGGAGACAUGAUUGUAAUUGCCUAAAGCAAUUCUUGUGAUCAAGAAUCAGAAGCAUGAACAGUAUUGCCCUCUGUGUUAGCCCCUUUAUAAGGGAGGAAGUCAUCUUCAGCAUGCUGAAUUGUCAUCUUUCUUAGCAGUGCAAAUGACUAAAACUUAGCCAAUGUAGAGUUUGUCCAAAUUUGGAGCUCAUAACUCAGUUCUUGAGCAAAGUGAAAAGAAAACAUUGUGAUUAUGGGGAAAAUAUUUGUACGGGACUUAUCAAAUAAAGAUAGGAAAAGAAGAAAACUCAAAUAUUAUAGGCAGAAAUGCUAAAGGUUUUAAAAUAUGUCAGGAUUGGAAGAAGGCAUGGAUAAAGAACAAAGUUCAGUUAGGAAAGAGAAACACAGAAGGAAGAGACACAAUAAAAGUCAUUAUGUAUUCUGUGAGAAGUCAGACAGUAAGAUUUGUGGGAAAUGGGUUGGUUUGUUGUAUGGUAUGUAUUUUAGCAAUAAUCUUUAUGGCAGAGAAAGCUAAAAUCCUUUAGCUUGCGUGAAUGAUCACUUGCUGAAUUCCUCAAGGUAGGCAUGAUGAAGGAGGGUUUAGAGGAGACACAGACACAAUGAACUGACCUAGAUAGAAAGCCUUAGUAUACUCAGCUAGGAAUAGUGAUUCUGAGGGCACACUGUGACAUGAUUAUGUCAUUACAUGUAUGGUAGUGAUGGGGAUGAUAGAAGGAAGAACUUAUGGCAUAUUUUCACCCCCACAAAAAUCAGUUAAAUAUUGGGACACUAACCAUCCAGGUCAAGAAAAGUCACAUGCCAUAGCCAUGGUAUUGCACAUCAUUCAUCUUGCAUUCUUUGAGAAUAAGAAGAUCAGUAAAUAGUUCAGAAGUGGGAAGCUUUGUCCAGGCCUGUGUGUGAACCCAAUGUUUUGUUUAGAAAUAGAACAAGUAAGUUCAUUGCUAUAGCAUAACACAAAAUUUGCAUAAGUGGUGGUCAGCAAAUCCUUGAAUGCUGCUUAAUGUGAGAGGUUGGUAAAAUCCUUUGUGCAACACUCUAACUCCCUGAAUGUUUUGCUGUGCUGGGACCUGUGCAUGCCAGACAAGGCCAAGCUGGCUGAAAGAGCAACCAGCCACCUCUGCAAUCUGCCACCUCCUGCUGGCAGGAUUUGUUUUUGCAUCCUGUGAAGAGCCAAGGAGGCACCAGGGCAUAAGUCUACUCACUUAUAUCUGUUUGUCUGGAACAUAACCCAUGUUUGUUUUUACAACAAAUAAAAUUGAUCUUGAAUAAAAA
rnacentral:lncRNA from 1 species